rnacentral:rRNA from 1 species
UACGGAGGGUGCAAGCGUUAUCCGGAUUCACUGGGUUUAAAGGGUGCGUAGGUGGGCCUGUAAGUCAGUGGUGAAAUCUCUGGGCUUAACCCGGAAACUGCCAUUGAUACUAUAGGUCUUGAAUCCCGUGGAGGUGAGCGGAAUAUGUCAUGUAGCGGUGAAAUGCUUAGAUAUGACAUAGAACACCAAUUGCGAAGGCAGCUCACUACACGAAGAUUGACUCUGAGGCACGAAAGCGUGGGGAUCAGACAGG